rnacentral:rRNA from 1 species
CCUACGGGAGGCAGCAGUGAGGAAUAUUGGUCAAUGGACGAGAGUCUGAACCAGCCAAGUAGCGUGAAGGAUGACUGCCCUAUGGGUUGUAAACUUCUUUUAUAUGGGAAUAAAACGUUCCACGUGUGGGAUUUUGUAUGUACCAUAUGAAUAAGGAUCGGCUAACUCCGUGCCAGCAGCCGCGGUAAUACGGAGGAUCCGAGCGUUAUCCGGAUUUAUUGGGUUUAAAGGGAGCGUAGGUGGAUUGUUAAGUCAGUUGUGAAAGUUUGCGGCUCAACCGUAAAAUUGCAGUUGAAACUGGCAGUCUUGAGUACAGUAGAGGUGGGCGGAAUUCGUGGUGUAGCGGUGAAAUGCUUAGAUAUCACGAAGAACUCCGAUUGCGAAGGCAGUUCACUGGACUGCAACUGACACUGAGGCUCGAAAGUGUGGGUAUCAAACAGGAUUAGAUACCCGAGUAGC